rnacentral:rRNA from 1 species
UACGGGGGGGGCAAGCGUUGUUCGGAAUUACUGGGCGUAAAGGGCUCGUAGGCGGCCAACUAAGUCAGACGUGAAAUCCCUCGGCUUAACCGGGGAACUGCGUCUGAUACUGGAUGGCUUGAGGUUGGGAGAGGGAUGCGGAAUUCCAGGUGUAGCGGUGAAAUGGGUAGAUAUCUGGAGGAACACCGGUGGCGAAGGCGGCAUCCUGGACCAAUUCUGACGCUGAGGCGCGAAAGCCAGGGGAGCAAACGGG